CUUUUCUUCUAAUAGCCUCGUUUCAUCCCACUGCAUCUUCAGGGGCACAGGAAUUGUUGAUUUGAUUCACUCCACUGCAACUUCGGAGAUUCAAAGAGAAGAGAUUUGUAGCCUCGAUCUUCUCUACUAAACUUCAAUUAGCUUCACUGUAACUUCAGGGAUGUAAAAUCUAUAUCUUCGAUUAACUCCAAUCUUUAUCUUUUAC
rnacentral:lncRNA from 1 species